AUGUCAGCACAGGCGGCUCUGCUCCCCUCUGCAAACGCUGUGCAGAGGCUGGGCGUGCAGCUGGGCUGCCUGCCAGCUCGGGGAAUGGUUCUGCUCACGGAGACGGGGCCAGACCCCUGGAUAAACUCCCCUGCUUCUCUCCAUAAAGGUUUUGAAGUAGGGAUUGCAUUUGUGGGAAGGGAAACUUGUCCACAGUCCUUGGAAAGGAGUCCAGAAAGACCUAGGUGAUAGAAGAUUAACAAAGUGAGGACCAAACAUCAACUUAUGACAAAACUUUGGAGGAGUUUUCUCUGUUCUAUUGUUCAUGGCCCUGUGGGGAGUCAUAAAUGCCUGUACUAAUACUGGUUGACAAUGAAUACUGGCAAAUAACCAGAACUGAAAAUUAGGGUGAGUCAUAAUUUGUGCUCUUAAAAGAAAAGAAAAAAAAUCCCAUUAUAUCCAUCUACCAUUGCCCAUGCAUCCAAAUUGCCUUGAAGAAGUCCACUAUUAACCAAUCUCUUUUGGGUAAUUGCUUUCCCUGUGAGAGCCCUCUACUAUAGAAGUACUGUCAAAACAAGGACAAGUUUGGGGUCCAUCAACCUUGACGAUGUCCUCUGACAUUAUUAGCUGAAUUCAUCAGCUAUUAAUGACUACAAGAUAUAUGGGAUAUACUCUGGUUAGCACUUGGAAAGACUCUUUCAAUUCAUUUCUAGCUCUAUUUAUUCAUUUAGACUAAAUGGAGUUAUUAAAGGUCAUGAUUUCAUUUCCAAAGUAUCAGGUGAAAAUACUUUUCAAUUUAGCAAAUAGAGCAGACUGCUUGCAAUAAAAUUAAAUACCAUCUUUAACA
rnacentral:lncRNA from 1 species